UCCCUGGUUGUCUAGUGGUAAGGAUUCGGCGCUCUCACCGCUGCGGCCUGGUUUCAAUUCCCGGUCAGGGAA
rnacentral:tRNA from 1 species